rnacentral:rRNA from 1 species
UCCUACGGGAGGCAGCAGUGGGGAAUCUUAGACAAUGGGCGCAAGCCUGAUCCAGCCAUGCCGCGUGUGUGAUGAAGGCCUUAGGGUCGUAAAGCACUUUCGCCAGAGAUGAUAAUGACAGUAYCUGGUAAAGAAACCCCGGCUAACUCCGUGCCAGCAGCCGCGGUAAUACGGAGGGGGUUAGCGUUGUUCGGAAUUACUGGGCGUAAAGCGCACGUAGGCGGAYUAKUMAGUCAGAGGUGAAAUCCCAGGGCUCAACCCUGGAACUGCCUUUGAUACUGCUAGUCUUGAGUUCGAGAGAGGUGAGUGGAAUUCCGAGUGUAGAGGUGAAAUUCGUAGAUAUUCGGAGGAACACCAGUGGCGAAGGCGGCUCACUGGCUCGAUACUGACGCUGAGGUGCGAAAGUGUGGGGAGCAAACAGGAUUAGAUACCCUGGUAGUCCACACCGUAAACGAUGAAUGCCAGWCGUCGGGCAGUAUACUGUUCGGUGACACACCUAACGGAUUAAGCAUUCCGCCUGGGGAGUACGGUCGCAAGAUUAAAACUCAAAGGAAUUGACGG